UCCCCAAAUUUUUUUCCGUUGCCUACCUCCCCUCCGCCGCUAACUGUCGUCGCCGUGUUUCUUCCAGGCGAGUAGUCGUCAAUUCUGAAUUAGAGGAUGCUGCCUCCGUCACACAGUAGACAUCACUGCCGUCGGACUCCUCCGCCGCAAACGGCGCUACCAUCGGUCAGCCCCAGUGGUGAUUCGCGCCGCUGCUGUGUAGUCUCCUCGCCGGAGGUUGCUGUCGACGCUAGAACAGCCCCGGAAACCUUCAGGCCUUCAGCUGCCCCCGGGACGCCCGGAGCAGUCCCCGAAACAACCCCGAUUCACCCCAAGAGAUAAGUUCUUGGUUUUAAUUCCGAUUAUUUAAAAGUUCGAGCUUUAAUUUAGUUUGCUUCGCUUGGUGUUCAAACGGAAUUUUCUAAGGCAGAUUAUGCAUAAAUUACAUGUUCAUGCUCUUGGCUAAAAGUGGGAUGGAAUUGGGAAAUUAAACAGAAUAUGGGGAUUACCUCUUGAUAAUGCAGUUUCCAAAAUUCUCAAAGUUCACUCCCUCUCUGAAGCUCCUAGUUGCAGUGAAAGGGAAAAGGAGUGAGCUUGAGUUGAGCAUGAAAAUACUUGUGGGAAGGAAGAAGAAAAUGUUACCUAUGGGGAGUAGGGGUUGCCUGCAAGAAUCCUGCAGAAACUUUACCCAAGCUCUCCCACUUUCAAUCUUGGGAAAAACGAAGUGUGAAGGAGGGGAGUUUUGGAGGUGGUGUGGGGGUUCUUAUAGGCUGAGUGUGGUGUCCUUAGGAGAAAUAAGUGGUUAUUGCUGCAGUUUUGUUUUCAUUUGCAGCAUAUCUCUUAUUUGAUUCACUUGCGGCACUUUAAUUUAAGAACCUUGGUUUUACUUCAAGAGGUAAGUACACUGCUAAUUAAUCCAUUUGUUUCCUUGUUCCAAGAUGUCCCAGAUUGGGUGAGGGAUGUGGGAAGACAAUACUAGCUCCACAAGGUCAAAAGAGCUACUGCCCCCUUGUAGGUUCCAAACAUAAUAUAAAUUGGGCCGAAAGUGGAGUGGGUUGUUCUUAAAAUGUUGGGCUUACUUCCGGUCCAAAGCUCUCCGUUACUGGGCCGAAAAGAGAGGCCUACUAUACACGUAUUUAUGUGCUCUCACAUUUGUAAAUUAUGGAUACUUAUGUUCUUGUAUUGAUUUUAAUUAAGGGCAUAGCUUUAUUCUCUUAGUAUUCUCUUUUGUAAGUGUACUCUGUUUAAUUAAAGAAGUAAACACGAAUUCAUUUUGAUUC